rnacentral:lncRNA from 1 species
GAAAAUAUAUCGUCUUUCCUGACUCCGAGUGGCAGCAGAGAGAGCUGAGCAUGUGAUAUCAAGCUGCGCAUGGAAAGCAAACAAAACGCCAUUUCUGUAUUUUGUAAGCAUCUCAGGUCAUAAAAGUGUCAGCACACUAUAUUUCUUGCUGGGAUCCUCUCUGUUUUAUUAUCUGAGCCCUUUCUAUUGUGUUGAAUGUGCAAGGAGAGUCUCCAAAGCAGGCAACAUCUGUUUCCCUGUCAUGUUUUUGAUUAUCAGCUCCAUAUUCCUUGCAAGUCUCCUGCUCACAUAUUCCCAUCAAACUCAAUGGGGGCUUCAACAGCAAGGACACUUCCUUAUCUCCCUUCCCCCAGACUCUCCAUCCAUCAUUCUCGCAUGCUGGCCCACUAAAUGCUGAUGCAAGAGGCCUGUUCUUUACACUUGGGUAGCACACUCAUGACCUCUCCAAUUUGUUUUGUUUGUUUAAGUCUAAUCGCUGUGGGUAUACCUGCCUCUCAGUCCUUAACAGGGGAGAAGGGACAGGAAGGAUGUAGGUGGGACAUCUCACUGGGUUUUAUUUUGGUACCCGUGGAGAACAGUUUUCUAAUGUAGUCUUAGAUUUGUUUCCCAGUUUUCUUCCCUGAAGAGGAAGUUUCUUCCCCUCUUUCUUAGCUCCCAAUUGCUAAAUCAAUUUCUCUGUGCUUUGCCAAGAGAUCUGUUUUAACAGUUAUGCAGGUAUUUCAAUCUGCAGAUGGGGAUUCUGCCAAUGAGAAUCAAUUAAAACAAUUGUCUUCUGCCUAUGGAUGGAAUUGCAGUUCCAGGAUAUUCGGCACCCUGAGAUCUGGGAAAGCAGAGGGUCUCUUCCUGGAUGCAUCCCUGUGAUUAAUCUGUAUUUAGACUUCUCAGCAAGAGUCCAGAUUUUUACAGCUGCUAAUCACCCACAGUUGUCAUUAACUUCAAUGGGUAACUCCUGCUGAAUCCGGGCUUUUCCACACCUGUUGGAUUUUCCAACUACUUAGUUUUUCCAUCUGGUAAGGGAGUAUUUUCAUUAUAGAAUUCUAUCUAGG